rnacentral:rRNA from 1 species
UACGGAGGGUGCAAACGUUGCUCGGAAUCAUUGGGCGUAAAGCGCACGUAGGCGGACCGCUAAGCCGGAUGUGAAAGCCCUCGGCUUAACCGAGGAAGUGCAUUCGAAACUGACGGUCUUGAGUAUGGAAGAGGGUCGCGGAAUUCCCGGUGUAGAGGUGAAAUUCGUAGAUAUCAAGAGGAACACCUGAGGCGAAGGCGGGUUGCUAGGCUGACACUGACGCUGAGGCGCGAAAGCAAGGGUAGCAAACAGG